rnacentral:misc_RNA from 1 species
UCGAUCUGUAAAUUUCUGAAUCUGUAUUGAGGGAAGUUGAAUUUGCAAAGGAAUAUACUUGGUUUUUUUCCUUUUCUUAGAACAAAUGGCUUCUGUAAGCGUUGUACCUACUUCUGGAUUAAAAGAUCCAAGUGGAAAUACAGCUGGUGUUGAUAGGUUACCUGAUGAGAUGAAUGACAUGAAAAUUAGGGAUGACAAGGAAAUGGAAGCAACGGUUGUUGAUGGUAACGGAACAGAGACGGGCCACAUAAUUGUCACAACCAUUGGUGGCAAAAAUGGACAGCCAAAACAGACAAUAAGCUAUAUGGCUGAGCGGGUUGUUGGACAUGGAUCUUUUGGAGUAGUAUUCCAGGCUAAGUGCCUAGAGACUGGUGAAACUGUUGCAAUUAAAAAGGUUCUACAAGAUAAAAGGUACAAGAACCGUGAGCUGCAAACUAUGCGUCUUCUGGACCACCCCAAUGUAGUGUCCUUGAAACACUGUUUCUUCUCAACAACUGAAAAAGAUGAUCUUUAUCUUAACCUGGUACUUGAGUAUGUCCCUGAGACUGUCCACCGCGUGAUCAAACACUAUAAUAAGAUGGGCCAAAGGAUGCCACUAAUAUACGUGAAACUUUAUUUUUACCAGAUUUGUAGAGCUCUUGCAUACAUUCACAACACUAUUGGAGUGUGCCAUAGGGACAUAAAGCCUCAAAAUUUGUUGGUUAACCCACACACCCACCAGCUGAAAUUAUGUGACUUUGGAAGUGCAAAAGUUUUGGUGAAAGGGGAACCAAACAUAUCUUAUAUAUGUUCUAGGUAUUAUCGAGCACCUGAACUUAUAUUUGGUGCAACUGAGUACACCACAGCCAUUGACAUUUG